AUGGUUCUAGCUACUAGCUGGGCAGCUGGCGAGGUCGGGGGGCCCCCUGCCUCACCAGAAGUUCCCGGACCUCAAGCUUCACAGGGAAACAGCGAGGCUGAGAACCCUGAAGGCAGCACACCAGCCAGGACAGUAGGCGUCUUGGAGUUUCAGGCCACAAACUGGAAGAUCAAUGAUGCUGGAGCCUCAAAGGGAACACCAGGGAAGCUGGAGCACCCCGAGGCCACUCUCAGUUGACUGGCACAUUGAUCAGCCUGCCCCCACACUCUGCAUAACAGCCCUUUCACUCUGCUGCAUGUUGAGAAAAUCACCUGGCUUUUCUAAGUCUCCAAUAAAAGUAAGAGUUACAUUAGCA
rnacentral:lncRNA from 1 species